GGGGGAUUAGCUCAGCUGGCUAGAGCGCUUCCAUGGCAUGGAAGAGGUCAUCGGUUCGACUCCGAUAUUCUCCACAA
rnacentral:tRNA from 4 species